rnacentral:rRNA from 1 species
ACGGGUGAGUAACGCGUGGGAACAUACCUCUUGGUUCGGAACAACACAGGGAAACUUGUGCUAAUACCGGAUAAGCCCUUACGGGGAAAGAUUUAUCGCCGAGAGAUUGGCCCGCGUCUGAUUAGCUAGUUGGUAGGGUAAUGGCCUACCAAGGCGACGAUCAGUAGCUGGUCUGAGAGGAUGAUCAGCCACAUUGGGACUGAGACACGGCCCAAACUCCUACGGGAGGCAGCAGUGGGGAAUAUUGGACAAUGGGGGCAACCCUGAUCCAGCCAUGCCGCGUGAGUGAUGAAGGCCCUAGGGUUGUAAAGCUCUUUUGUGCGGGAAGAUAAUGACGGUACCGCAAGAAUAAGCCCCGGCUAACUUCGUGCCAGCAGCCGCGGUAAUACGAAGGGGGCUAGCGUUGCUCGGAAUCACUGGGCGUAAAGGGUGCGUAGGCGGGUUUUUAAGUCAGGGGUGAAAUCCUGGAGCUCAACUCCAGAACUGCCUUUGAUACUGAAGAUCUUGAGUCCGGGAGAGGUGAGUGGAACUGCGAGUGUAGAGGUGAAAUUCGUAGA